CUUGAUGGAGCCGAGCCACAGCGGCCGGUCGCUCUCGCGCUGCUGCCCGUAGGUGGCGAGCAGGGCCUGCGCCUC
rnacentral:antisense_RNA from 1 species